rnacentral:sRNA from 12 species
GCUUCCGAUCCGAACGGUGACGUUGAUCGCCGCCUUCCCCGCAAAGGGAUAGGAUCGGGAGUUUUC